CGGAAGUCUAAGAUCAACAUGCCAAAAGGGUUGGUUUCUGACUCAUAUUUAGACUCAAAUCCCAGCAUACUGCAAAAGGACGACUGCAAAGCCUAAACUGACAGGAUGCCCCUUGUACAAUGAAGAAUGGUAUAAUGCUCUUGGCUAUAUUGGCACAAACCUGAUGAAUAUGGGUGAGAAUAAUUUAUAAGACUGUUAUGGCCAAGUGCAGUGGCUCAUGCCUGUAAUUCUAGCACUUUGGGAGGCCAAGACAGGUGGAUCACCUGAUGUCAGGAGUUCAAGACCAGCCUGGCCAACAUGGCAAAACACCGUCUCUACUAAAAAUACAAAAAAUAGCCGGACUUGGUGACACACUCCUGUAAUCCCAGCUACUCGGGAGGCUGAGGAAGGAGAAUAGCUUGAACUUGGGAGGCAGAUGUUGCAGUAAGCCGAGAUCGCUCCACUGCACUCCAGUCUGUGUGACGGGAGCAAGCUUCCAUCUUCAAAAAAAAAAAAAAAAGGUGUUAUAUCAGGGAUGAAAAAAAUUAUUGUUGGAUAUGGCUGAUAUUACUGAUAUUAAUACAAUUAGCAAAAAUGCCGAACAAUAAAUUUGAGCCAUUAACAAUAUCAAAUCUGUUAUCUUGAGCAUAUGAAAUUGACUAUAACAUGGUACUCAUUUGUUUGAAUGAACCUUGGGGUCCAAAGUGACCUACAUCAAAUGAAGCUGAGAUUUCAUCAUGUCCCUGUUAUACUCUAACGGAUUGAAUCUAAAGGCUUUAAAUGAUAAGAGUGUAAGAAUAAAUUUGUCAUAUAUGUCCUGCUUCGUGUCUCUUAACAAUGUCUCCUGGGAC
rnacentral:lncRNA from 1 species